AGAGGAGUGGCAGAGCGGUUGAUUGCACCGGUCUUGAAAACCGGCAUCCCUUCACGGGGAUCGGGGGUUCGAAUCCCUCCUCCUCUG
rnacentral:tRNA from 1 species